GGACCCACGAAGUCCAGUUGAGUUGAGGGAUUCAUAUACUUCUGGGAGGCUUUUAAUUUGUUUGUUUUUUUUAUUUGAGAAAGGCAAACAAUUACUCAGUCAAACCAAAUGAUGCAUUUCUCUUGCUCACGUUGGAGCUAUGACUGCUUAACAUGUUCAUCUAUGAGCGUGCCUAGAUGAUCUAGAGUUUCGAACUCUAAAACUAAUCUAGGUAGGCGAAUACUAUAGAUGAAUCGUUGAGUAGGUGAAUUACUUACAUUCGUAAGUGUGUUCAGAUUGUGUUUAUGGUGAAGAGAUGAUACGUCUUGGUUAUAUGUUAUUCUUGACUCGUGCUUGAAAACAUGUAACAUCUAGGCAUAUGCACAUUUCUCUCUCCUAUAAAGAUACAUGAUCCAGAGUAAGUAGGUCGGUCAUCCAUCUGACCCGUCUUGAAACACGGACCAAGGAGCCCAACAUUUAUGCGAGUCGCACAGUCUUGUUUAGGCUCGUGAGGCGAAAUAAACAUACUGUUGUGACUGUUUUUUUCUCGAAACAAGCAACAACUGCCUGUUUCAUCUUAAAUAUAAGUGAAACGGCGUUUUGAGCAUGAUUGUUGGUACCCGAAAGAUGGUGAACUAUACUUGGGCAAGACAAGCCGAGGAGAACUCUGGUGGAUGUCUGUAGCGAUUCUGACGUGCA
rnacentral:rRNA from 1 species